rnacentral:rRNA from 1 species
GCUGGCGGCGCGCCUAAUACAUGCAAGUCGAACGAGAAUGUGUUGCAAUACACAUGUAAAGUGGCGAACGGGUGAGGAUUACAUGGGUAACCUACCCUCGAGUGGGGAAUAACCAGCCGAAAGGUUGGCUAAUACCGCGUACGCUUCCCGGACUGCGGUUCGGGAAGGAAAGCGAUACCUUGGGUAUCGCGCUCUUGGAUGGGCUCAUGCCCUAUCAGCUUGUUGGUGAGGUAACGGCUCACCAAGGCUUCGACGGGUAGCUGAUCUGAGAGGAUGAUCAGCCACACUGGCACUGCGACACGGGCCAGACUCCUACGGGAGGCAGCAGUAAGGAAUAUUGCGCAAUGGGCGAAAGCCUGACGCAGCGACGCCGCGUGGGGGAUGAAGGUCUUCGGAUUGUAAACCCCUUUCGGGAGGGAAGAUGGGAUGGGGUAACCCAUUCGGACGGUACCUCCAGAAGCAGCCACGGCUAACUUCGUGCCAGCAGCCGCGGUAAUACGAAGGUGGCAAGCGUUGUUCGGAUUUACUGGGCGUACAGGGAGCGUAGGCGGUUGGAUAAGCCCUCCGUGAAAUCUCCAGGCUUAACCUGGAAAGUGCAGAGGGGACUGUUCAGCUAGAGGAUGGGAGAGGAGCGCGGAAUUCCCGGUGUAGCGGUGAA